GCCCGCGAGCGGCGCGCUCGAACCGGAAGAACGGGACGGAGGGUCCUGCCUGUAGUGAUGGGUCGUGAGCCUGGCGGCGCGACGGGUUACGGGGAUAAAAGCAUUCAGAUGGCAGAUAACAGUUUUUCAGAUGGGGUUCCUGCAGAUUCUGUGGAAGCUGCUAAAAAUGCAAGUAACACAGAAAAGCUCACAGAUCAGGUGAUGCAGAAUCCACAAGUUCUGGCAGCUCUACAGGAACGACUUGACAAUGUCUCUCACACUCCUUCCAGCUACAUUGAAACAUUACCCAAAGCAGUCAAGAGGAGAAUUAAUGCAUUGAAGCAGCUUCAAGUGAGGUGUGCACACAUAGAAGCCAAGUUCUAUGAAGAAGUCCAUGACCUGGAGAGAAAGUAUGCAGCAUUGUACCAACCUCUGUUCGACAAGAGAAGAGAAUUCAUCACUGGUGAUGUGGAGCCAACAGAUGCAGAAUCAGAAUGGCACAGUGAAAAUGAAGAGGAGGACAAGUUGGCUGGAGACAUGAAAAAUAAAGUAGCCAUAGCAGAGAAAGAAGAAGCAGCAGCUGAAGAGCUAAAUCCCAAAGGAAUCCCAGAGUUCUGGUUCACUAUUUUUAGAAAUGUGGAUAUGCUCAGUGAGCUAGUGCAGGAAUAUGAUGAGCCAAUCUUGAAACAUCUGCAAGAUAUUAAAGUGAAAUUUUCAGACCCUGGACAGCCUAUGUCUUUUGUGUUAGAAUUCCACUUUGAACCCAAUGACUACUUUACCAAUCCAGUCCUGACAAAAACAUACAAGAUGAAGUCAGAGCCAGACAAGGCCGACCCCUUUUCCUUUGAAGGUCCUGAAAUUGUGGACUGUGAUGGGUGUACUAUUGACUGGAAGAAAGGAAAAAAUGUUACAGUCAAAACCAUCAAGAAAAAGCAGAAGCAUAAGGGUCGGGGCACUGUUAGAACAAUCACUAAACAAGUGCCCAAUGAAUCAUUUUUCAACUUCUUCAACCCACUAAAAGCCUCUGGGGAUGGCGAAUCACUGGAUGAAGAGUCUGAAUUCACGUUAGCCUCAGAUUUUGAAAUCGGACACUUUUUCCGUGAGCGAAUAGUGCCGCGGGCUGUGCUCUACUUCACUGGGGAGGCCAUAGAAGAUGAUGACAAUUUUGAAGAAGGUGAGGAAGGCGAAGAGGAGGAAUUAGAAGGUGAUGAGGAGGGAGAAGAUGAGGACGAUGCUGAAAUUAACCCCAAGGUCCCUGUCUUCUAAAGGAGCAUCUCACCUUGUGAUCACAGAGAAUUGACAUAAGGUGUAAUUUUUGUCUGUUAAUCAUUCAUACGUUCCUAGAAAGAGCCCAGCCAGCCAGCGGAAUGCAAGCAGCAGUGAGGAGCGGCCACCUCGGCAAUGGCUGUCAGGACCCAGCUGUGGCAGGCCCUCAGGCCAUGCUGCAGCAAAACAUAUGGACUGCUUAUAACAUCUAAUGAGUUUUCAAGUGCAUGAUUUUCACUUUUCCUUUUUAUUUUGCUUAACCUGUACAGUGGCAACUGAAAUGCAUUUCAGAAAUAGGAGGUUUAGUUCUAGCACCCUCUGUGGCCUUGGUGCCUGCGGCCCUGGACCUGCCUAGGCCCUGCCCUUGAGAAGGUCCAUACACCAUGUGGGAUGGGGGAGUCACUCCUGGAAAGGGCAGGGGUCUGGGGACUCAGUUUCAGGGCUCCCAGAGCCUCUUCUGCCACUUCUGCAGACUGGCUGAGUCCCUCCCUUUGAUUCAAAGAAACCCCAGUUUCCACCACUGACCCUACUGCUCGGAAGCUGCUUCAGCCAUUAUAUCCUAAUCAUCUCAGAAGAGCUGAGUAAAGUAAGGCCGUGUUCACUUAGAGUGUUUUUCUUGUGUUUUAGUUUGCUAGGGGUUGGGUGGGUUGUGGUACACACCUUCUCUGAGGCAGGAGCUGUAAUGAUACCCUUGUAUUUAUUUAUUCAUUGUGCUUGGAGGACUUUGAAUUUACACUGUUGUUCAUCCUUUCCAUUGAUGAAACCAUAUCGCCGACUUGACCAGGAGGAGGGUGUGCCAUCUCCUAGCAGGAGCAUGGCUUGUGCUGCUUCCUGCAGCCAGCUGCUGAGGGCAGGAGCUUGUUCUAUGACAUGCAGACCACAUGUUACUGUUGGAAGGUCUUUGGGGAUGGGAGGGGCUGCAGAGUGCAGCUUUUCAAUCCAAUGUGUGAAUGUUACAUCUUGCUUUCUUGGUAACCCCCAUUUCUGGACUCCACCAUUCAUCCUGUCUUAAGAGCCCUGGGUUUGGUGUGACUGGUUGGUGGCUGGUGUGUGGGGUUUUUGAGUAUGUGGCAGUGGUCUCUGGCACCUGGGGACAGUUGUGUCCACACUGACCAGGCAUGUAGAGAGUGCUCAGCCUUACCUGAUAACACAUUUGUAACUGAAUACGGUGUUUUCAAUUUGUACAGAAUAGUUAGAAUAUUCUAUUAAAGAUGUGAAACAUGAA